rnacentral:rRNA from 1 species
AUUGAACGCUGGCGGCAGGCCUAACACAUGCAAGUCGAGCGGAUGAAGGGAGCUUGCUCCUGGAUUCAGCGGCGGACGGGUGAGUAAUGCCUAGGAAUCUGCCUGGUAGUGGGGGAUAACGUCCGGAAACGGGCGCUAAUACCGCAUACGUCCUGAGGGAGAAAGUGGGGGAUCUUCGGACCUCACGCUAUCAGAUGAGCCUAGGUCGGAUUAGCUAGUUGGUGGGGUAAGGGCCUAGCAAGGCGACGAUCCGUAACUGGUCUGAGAGGAUGAUCAGUCACACUGGAACUGAGACACGGUCCAGACUCCUACGGGAGGCAGCAGUGGGGAAUAUUGGACAAUGGGCGAAAGCCUGAUCCAGCCCUACCGCGUGUGUGAAGAAGGACUUCGGAUGGUAAAGCACUUUAAGUUGGGAGGAAGGGCAGUAAGUUAAUACCCUGCUGUUUUGACGUUACCAACAGAAUAAGCACCGGCUAACUUCGUG